rnacentral:rRNA from 1 species
UACGAAGGGGGCAAGCGUUGUCCGGAUUUAUUGGGCGUAAAGAGCGUGUAGGCGGCCUGGAAGGUCAGCUGUGAAAACUCGAGGCUCAACCUCGAGACGUCGGUUGAAACCACCUGGCUAGAGUCCGGAAGAGGAGAGUGGAAUUCCUGGUGUAGCGGUGAAAUGCGCAGAUAUCAGGAGGAACACCAAUGGCGAAGGCAGCUCGCUGGAACGGUACUGACGCUGAGGCGCGAAAGCGUGGGGAGCGAACAGG